GAUGAACGCUGGCGGCGUGCCUAAUACAUGCAAGUCGAGCGAACAGACGAGGAGCUUGCUCCUCUGACGUUAGCGGCGGACGGGUGAGUAACACGUGGAUAACCUACCUAUAAGACUGGGAUAACUUCGGGAAACCGGAGCUAAUACCGGAUAAUAUAUUGAACCGCAUGGUUCAAUAGUGAAAGACGGCUUUGCUGUCACUUAUAGAUGGAUCUGCGCCGCAUUAGCUAGUUGUUAAGGUAACGGCUUACCAAGGCAACGAUGCGUAGCCGACCUGAGAGGGUGAUCGGCCACACUGGAACUGAGACACGGUCAAGACUCCUAAGGGAGGCCGCAGUAGGGAAUCUUACGCAAUGGGCGAAAGCAUGACGGAGCAACGCCGCGUGAGUGAUGAAGGUCUUCGGAUCGUAAAACUCUGUUAUUAGGGAAGAACAAAUGUGUAAGUAACUAUGCACGUAUUGACGGUACCUAAUCAGAAAGCCACGGCUAACUACGUG
rnacentral:rRNA from 1 species